rnacentral:tRNA from 1 species
GCAACCGUGGCCGAGAGGUUAAGGCGGUGCCCUGCUAAGGCAUUGGGUUCUCCCGCGUGCGUUCGAAUCGCAUCGGUUGCG